AGGACGAACGCUGGCGGCAUGCCUAACACAUGCAAGUCGAACGGAGUUUGAGGAGCUUGCUCCUUGAACUUAGUGGCGGACGGGUGAGUAACGCGUGAGUAACCUGCCUUUCAGUGGGGAAUAAUAUUCUGAAAAGAGUACUAAUACCGCAUAACGUAUAGAAACCGCAUGGUUUUUAUACCAAAGAUUUAUCGCUGAGAGAUGGACUCGCGUCCGAUUAGCCAGUUGGUGAGGUAACGGCUCACCAAAGCAACGAUCGGUAGCCGGACUGAGAGGUUGAACGGCCACAUUGGGACUGAGACACGGCCCAGACUCCUACGGGAGGCAGCAGUGGGGGAUAUUGUGCAAUGGGGGAAACCCUGAACCACAGCAAUGCCGCGUGAAGGAUGAAGGUCUUCGGAUUGUAAACUUCUUUUGUCAAGGACGAUAAUGACGGUACUUGACGAAUAAGCUCCGGCUAACUACGUGCCAGCCGCCGC
rnacentral:rRNA from 1 species